GGGGCUGAUUCUGGAUUCGACGGGAUUUGCGAAACCCAAGGUGCAUGCCGAGGGGCGGUUGGCCUCGUAAAAAGCCGCAAAAAAUAGUCGCAAACGACGAAAACUACGCUUCAGCAGCUUAAUAACCUGCUUAGAGCCCUCUCUCCCUAGCCUCCGCUCUUAGGACGGGGAUCAAGAGAGGUCAAACCCAAAAGAGAUCGCGUGGAAGCCCUGCCUGGGGUUGAAGCGUUAAAACUUAAUCAGGCUAGUUUGUUAGUGGCGUGUCCGUCCGCAGCUGGCAAGCGAAUGUAAAGACUGACUAAGCAUGUAGUACCGAGGAUGUAGGAAUUUCGGACGCGGGUUCAACUCCCGCCAGCUCCACCA
rnacentral:tmRNA from 1 species